ACGAACGCUGGCGGCGUGCUUAACACAUGCAAGUCGAACGGAAAGGCCCUGCUUUUGUGGGGUGCUCGAGUGGCGAACGGGUGAGUAACACGUGAGUAACCUGCCCUUGUCUUUGGGAUAACUUCAGGAAACUGGGGCUAAUACCGGAUAGGAGCUCCUGCUGCAUGGUGGGGGUUGGAAAGUUUCGGCGGUUGGGGAUGGACUCGCGGCUUAUCAGCUUGUUGGUGGGGUAGUGGCUUACCAAGGCUUUGACGGGUAGCCGGCCUGAGAGGGUGACCGGCCACAUUGGGACUGAGAUACGGCCCAGACUCCUACGGGAGGCAGCAGUGGGGAAUAUUGCACAAUGGGCGGAAGCCUGAUGCAGCAACGCCGCGUGCGGGAUGACGGCCUUCGGGUUGUAAACCGCUUUCGCCUGUGACGAAGCGUGAGUGACGGUAACGGGUAAAGAAGCACCGGCUAACUACGUG
rnacentral:rRNA from 1 species